AGGCGCGAAAACUUUACAAUGCGGGAAACCGCGAUAAGGGAACCCCGAGUGCCAGCAUCAAAUGUUGGCUGUCCAGAUGAUUAAAAAUCAUUUGUUAGCAAGGGCCGGGCAAGACCGGUGCCAGCCGCCGCGGUAACACCGGCGGCCCGAGUGGUAGCCGUUUUUAUUGGGUCUAAAGGGUCCGUAGCCGGCUUGAUAAGUCUUUUGGGAAAUCUGGCAGCUUAACUGUCAGGCUUCUAAGGGAUACUGUCAGGCUUGGGACCGGAAGAGGUAAGGGGUACUCCAGGGGUAGGAGUGAAAUCUUGUAAUCCCUGGGGGACCAUCUGUGGCGAAGGCGCCUUACCAGAACGGGUCCGACGGUGAGGGACGAAAGCUAGGGGAGCAAACCGGAUUAGAUACCCGGGUAGUCCUAGCUGUAAACGAUGCUCGCUAGGUGUCAGACACGGUGCGACCGUGUUUGGUGCCGCAGGGAAGCCGUUAAGCGAGCCACCUGGGAAGUACGGUCGCAAGGCUGAAACUUAAAGGAAUUGGCGGGGGAGCACUACAACGGGUGGAGCCUGCGGUUUAAUUGGAUUCAACGCCGGAAAACUCACCGGGUGCGACAGCAAUAUGUAGGUCAGGCUGAAGGUCUUACCUGAAUCGCUGAGAGGAGGUGCAUGGCCGUCGUCAGUUCGUACUGUGAAGCAU
rnacentral:rRNA from 1 species